GAAAUAGUCAAAUUGCAUUCUUGGUCAAGAUGCCAAAUGGGAAAUGAUAAUUGUGCAGCCACUACAUCCUCAAGGCAUAAAUACAUCUAGAAAUAGUUAAAAUACAGGGUAUAUUAAGAUUUUCCUGACAAUUUAAAAAGGAUUUUAUUAUUAACCAAGUCCUGCUUCUGAAAAUCACGGAAGCCAGCAAGAAGCAAUAGU
rnacentral:misc_RNA from 1 species